GAUGAACGCUGGCGGCGUGCCUAAUACAUGCAAGUCGAGCGAACGGACGAGAAGCUUGCUUCUCUGAUGUUAGCGGCGGACGGGUGAGUAACACGUGGAUAACCUACCUAUAAGACUGGGAUAACUUCGGGAAACCGGAGCUAAUACCGGAUAAUAUUUUGAACCGCAUGGUUCAAAAGUGAAAGACGGUCUUGCUGUCACUUAUAGAUGGAUCCUCGCUGCAUUAGCUAGUUGGUAAGGUAACGGCUUACCAAGGCAACGAUGCAUAGCCGACCUGAGAGGGUGAUCGGCCACACUGGAACUGAGACACGGUCCAGACUCCUACGGGAGGCAGCAGUAGGGAAUCUUCCGCAAAGGGCGAAAGCCUGACGGAGCAACGCCGCGUGAGUGAUGAAGGUCUUCGGAUCGUAAAACUCUGUUAUUAGGGAAGAACAUAUGUGUAAGUAACUGUGCACAUCUUGACGGUACCUAAUCAGAAAGCCACGGCUAACUACGUG
rnacentral:rRNA from 1 species